AUGAACGCUAGCUACAGGCUUAACACAUGCAAGUCGAGGGGCAGCAUGGUCUUAGCUUGCUAAGGCCGAUGGCGACCGGCGCACGGGUGAGUAACACGUAUCCAACCUGCCGUCUACUCUUGGACAGCCUUCUGAAAGGAAGAUUAAUACAAGAUGGCAUCAUGAGUCCGCAUGUUCACAUGAUUAAAGGUAUUCCGGUAGACGAUGGGGAUGCGUUCCAUUAGAUAGUAGGCGGGGUAACGGCCCACCUAGUCUUCGAUGGAUAGGGGUUCUGAGAGGAAGGUCCCCCACAUUGGAACUGAGACACGGUCCAAACUCCUACGGGAGGCAGCAGUGAGGAAUAUUGGUCAAUGGGCGAGAGCCUGAACCAGCCAAGUAGCGUGAAGGAUGACUGCCCUAUGGGUUGUAAACUUCUUUUAUAAAGGAAUAAAGUCGGGUAUGCAUACCCGUUUGCAUGUACUUUAUGAAUAAGGAUCGGCUAACUCCGUGCCAGCAGCCGCGGUAAUACGGAGGAUCCGAGCGUUAUCCGGAUUUAUUGGGUUUAAAGGGAGCGUAGAUGGAUGUUUAAGUCAGUUGUGAAAGUUUGCGGCUCAACCGUAAAAUUGCAGUUGAUACUGGAUAUCUUGAGUGCAGUUGAGGCAGGCGGAAUUCGUGGUGUAGCGGUGAAAUGCUUAGAUAUCACGAAGAACUCCGAUUGCGAAGGCAGCCUGCUAAGCUGUAACUGACAUUGAGGCUCGAAAGUGUGGGUAUCAAACAGGAUUAGAUACCCUGGUAGUCCACACGGUAAACGAUGAAUACUCGCUGUUUGCGAUAUACAGCAAGCGGCCAAGCGAAAGCGUUAAGUAUUCCACCUGGGGAGUACGCCGGCAACGGUGAAACUCAAAGGAAUUGACGGGGGCCCGCACAAGCGGAGGAACAUGUGGUUUAAUUCGAUGAUACGCGAGUUACUUUACCCUGGCUCAAAUUGCAGAUGAAUUACGGUGAAAGCCGUAAGCCUCAAGGCAUCUGUGAAGGUGCUGCAUGGUUGUCGUCAGCUCGUGCCGUGAGGUGUCGGCUUAAGUGCCAUAACGAGCGCAACCCUUGUUGUCAGUUACUAACAGGUUCUGCUGAGGACUCUGACAAGACUGCCAUCGUAAGAUGUGAGGAAGGUGGGGAUGACGUCAAAUCAGCACGGCCCUUACGUCCGGGGCUACACACGUGUUACAAUGGGGGGUACAGAGGGCCGCUACUACGCGAGUGGAUGCCAAUCCCAAAAACCUCUCUCAGUUCGGACUGGAGUCUGCAACCCGACUCCACGAAGCUGGAUUCGCUAGUAAUCGCGCAUCAGCCACGGCGCGGUGAAUACGUUCCCGGGCCUUGUACACACCGCCCGUCAAGCCAUGGGAGCCGGGGGUACCUGAAGUGCGUAACCGCGAGGAGCGCCCUAGGGUAAAACUGGUGACUGGGGCU
rnacentral:rRNA from 1 species